CUCUCGUGAUAUUCGGCUCAGGUGUCACAACCCUCUCUGUGUCUACCUCAGCUGUCGAAGUUGCGGGCUCUUUCUGCCGCUGCAAAAGAGAAUACCCCCUUUUCAGUCUCGGAAAGGAUUCAAAGACACAAGUCUUAACUAAAAGCAAGGAGUCCGACUCAUAUCAGUGGAAAGGAUCAAGGAUGUUUCCUUAUUAAUAUUGCUCACAUUCGAGCAAGAACGAUACAAAAAAAAGAGAAAAAAUACAAAGAGGACAGGGGAAAGCCUAAAGAAGACUAAGCCAUAAGCGGCGCCCACCUCCUGGCUCGGCGCAGGAGUUGACGAUUGUCAUAGCCCGGGGCUGACACACUUGGGAUGCGUGGGCACCCCCUAUUUGUUCGGUAGUGGGAGACGAGGAUCACUGCGGCGAUCGCCGGCGAGGCCAAUGCG
rnacentral:lncRNA from 1 species